rnacentral:rRNA from 1 species
UACAGAGGGGGCAAGCGUUGUUCGGAAUUACUGGGCGUAAAGGGCGCGUAGGCGGCCUUCUAAGUCGAACGUGAAAUCCCCGGGCUUAACCCUGGGCCUGCUUCCGAUACGGGCAGACUAGAGGUAUGCAGGGGAGAACGGAAUUCCUGGUGUAGCGGUGAAAUGCGCAGAGUAUCAAGGAGGAACACCGGUGGCGAAGG